rnacentral:rRNA from 1 species
GGGUACGGUGCGGAACACGUGUGCACUGCCUUUAUCUGGGGGAUAGCCUUUCGAAAAGGAAAGAUAUACCCCAUAAAUAUGUUGGAUGGCUCAUCCGACAUUGAAAACUCCGGUGGAUAGAGAUGGGCACGCGCAAGAUUAGAUAGUUGGUGAGGUAACGGUCACCAAGUCUACGAUCUUUAGGGGGCCUGAGAGGGUGAUCCCCCACAUGGUACUGAGACACGGCCCANACUCCUUACGGGAGGCAGCAGUGGGGAAUAUUGGACAAUGGGCGCAAGCCUGAUCCAGCAAUACCGCGUGUGUGAAGAAGGCCUGAGGGUUGUAAAGCACUUUCGACGAGGAGGAAGGUAGUAAUGCUAAUACCAUUGUUAUUUUGACGUUACUCGUACAAGAAGCACCGGCUAACUCUGUGCCAAAAGCGGGUUAUACANGAGGGUGAAGGGUUAAUCGGAAAUUACUGGGGUAAAGAGUGGUAAGGGGGGAUAAUUAUAAAGUCAUAUGUGAAAAGCCCGGGAAUUUAACUGGGAAAUUGGUUUAUGNAAAAUGGAUAAUAAAAGUAUAGGAAAAAAGAAAUGGGAAAAAAAAGGAGAGAAAGGUAGA